rnacentral:rRNA from 1 species
GACGAACGCUGGCGGCGUGCCUAAUACAUGCAAGUCGAGCGGACGAAUCGAAAGCUUGCUUUUGAUUCGUUAGCGGCGGACGGGUGAGUAACACGUGGGCAACCUGCCCUGUAGACGGGGAUAACACCGAGAAAUCGGUGCUAAUACCGGAUAACACGAAAUGUCGCAUGACGUUUCGUUGAAAGACGGCGCAAGCUGUCGCUACAGGAUGGGCCCGCGGCGCAUUAGCUAGUUGGUGAGGUAACGGCUCACCAAGGCGACGAUGCGUAGCCGACCUGAGAGGGUGAUCGGCCACACUGGGACUGAGGCACGGCCCAGACUCCUACGGGAGGCAGCAGUAGGGAAUCUUCCGCAAUGGACGAAAGUCUGACGGAGCAACGCCGCGUGAGCGAAGAAGGCCUUCGGGUCGUAAAGCUCUGUUGUUAGGGAAGAACAAGUAACGCAGUAACUGGCGUUACCGUGACGGUACCUAACGAGAAAGCCACGGCUAACUACGUG